UAAAUCAUUGAAAAUAAGGAAUUUUCAUCAAACCUUAUCACUUUGCACGACCAUUAUUCUGAAAAACAGAGAGAAAAGAAAACCAAAAAACCAUUUCUUGGCUGGUUUGAAGAAAUUCUAAGGAGAUCCAAGUGAAAGCAAAGCCAAAGAAGUAGAUUAAGCUUAGUUCUAGCCUUUUUAUGAUAUUUCUUGGGGUUUCCAAGUGGUUUGAGGUUUAGAAAAGCUUGAAGAGAUUGUUUUCGCCGAAAAGUUGCUCGGAUAAGCACAUCAAUACCUAAGACAUCACUUGUUACACGGUGAAAUAUAUUGUGGACAAAAGGUAGAGAAGGAAAUAUGUGAAUGAUAUGAGGAGAACUGAAGCAUGGUCCUGACCCUGAUUUGUACAUAUGAACACAUCGACCUUUUUGUGGGUUAUUUCAGUUAUCAGUGAGAUGUUUGUAAUAAAGUGUGAAGUUAUGUUUUGAAAAUAAAUUGGGUUAUUUAAUACUUAUGUAUAAUAUGUUUGAGACACACUUUAUGUUUAAUGUAAAUAAGGUGAAAUAAGUUUUCAAGUUUAAAAAAAAAAAAUGUCCAGACUUCCGCAGAAAUAAAUUAUGAUAUAGUUUUAAAACGUAACACCUCAAAUAUGGUUUUUAACUAAAAUAAGUGAGGGUGUUACACCUCCAUUUCUACUUGGACUCUGAAUGUUUAUGAUUCGGACGUGACAGUGAUAAGUGAUAAACAACUGCAAUCAUUUAUGAAGUCAUGGUCUACUUUGUUCCCAUCGUUGUUAUUGCAGUCACAACUUUUCAAGGAUAACCCUUAGUUGACGAUUCCACCUGGAGCUAAAAGAUGAAAAGAGUUCAACGUGCAUCGCAUGCCAGUUGAUUCAGUACCCCAAACCAA